AUUGAACGCUAGCGGCAUGCCUUACACAUGCAAGUCGAGCGGAGCGGCGGACGGGUGAGUAAUGUCUCGGAAUCUGCCUGGUAGUGGGGGAUAACUUCCCGAAACGGGCGCUAAUACCGCAUACUAUCAGAUCAGCCUAUGUCGGAUUAGCUAGUUGGUGGGGUAAAGGCCUACCAAGGCGACGAUCCGUAACUGGUCUGAGAGGAUGAUCAGUCACACUGGAACUGAGACACGGGCCAGACUCCGACGGGAGGCAGCAGUGGGGAAUAUUGGACAAUGGGCGAAAGCCUGAUCCAGCCAUGCCGCGUGUGUGAAGAAGGUCUUCGGAUUGUAAAGCACUUUAAGUUGGAAGGCGUUACCAACAGAAUAAGCACCGGCUAACUUCGUGCCAGCAGCCGCGGUAAUAC
rnacentral:rRNA from 1 species